GACGAACGCUGGCGGCGUGCUUAACACAUGCAAGUCGAACGGAAAGGCCUGCUUUCCCUUGUGGAUUGCGGGUACUCGAGUGGCGAACGGGUGAGUAACACGUGAGUGAUCUGCCCCCACCUUGGGUAUAAGCCUGGGAAACUGGGUCUAAUUCCCGAUAGGACUGCAGGGUGGUGCCUGUGGUGGAAAACGAUUUUCUAGUGGUUGGGGAUGAGCUCGCGGCCUAUCAGCUUGUUGGUGGGGUAAUGGCCUACCAAGGCGGCGACGGGUAGCCGGCCUGAGAGGGUGGACGGCCACAUUGGGACUGAGAUACGGCCCAGACUCCUACGGGAGGCAGCAGUGGGGAAUAUUGCACAAUGGGCGGAAGCCUGAUGCAGCGACGCCGCGUGGGGGAUGACGGCCUUCGGGUUGUAAACUCCUUUCGACCGCGAGGAAGCCACCUGGUUGGAAGGGUGGUGACGGUAGUGGUAGAAGAAGCACCGGCUAACUACGUG
rnacentral:rRNA from 1 species